UUCAAGGGUUUGAAGUGCUGGUCUUUAAAUAGUUACCCCUAAAGUGUCAGGAGAUCUGGGUCCAAAAACCUUGAAUUACUGAUCUUGGUUGUUCCUCCCAAUUUCCCAGAGCCUCAGUUUUGUCAUCUGAAGGAGGUUUUGUCAUGAGGAACAUGAGAUGCUAUUAUGUGACAGUGCCAAGCAAGUCGAAGAUGCUUCAGGAUGAAUGGGAAGGGGAAAUUUGGACACAGACACAUGCAUAGAGUGAUGAUGAUGUAAAGAGACAUUGGGAGAAGAUGGUCAUCUACAAGCCAAGGAGAGAGGCCUGGAACAGAUCCCUUCCUGCACAGCCUCCAGCAGGAACCAACCACGGUGGCAUCUUGAUCUUGGACUUCUAGACCUCAGAACUGCAUAUCUCAGAGAUAUUGUGGGCUCGGUUCCAGACAACUGCAAUAAGGCAAGUCACAC